rnacentral:lncRNA from 1 species
AGCUGAUGGUGUAAGUUCCAGUUUGAGAGCAGAGGAAGGCCUUGAGUCAUGUCACAGGGGCCUUUUAUGAGUCAUAGGACACUAGCAAUGAACAUUUCUGGAGAACAAAAAUCAGUAACCAUCAGAAGAAUAGGACAGAAUCCUGACCUUUGGCCUCACUGCCCUUAACUACCCAGCCAGAAGAACCCACAGCAGCUAGAGGAAAUAUCUUCCUCCCCUACAGUCUCUAUCCCUCCUUGACUACCUUCAGUGCUUUACGACAUGAGCACUGGCUUUCGUCUGGUUCAGGUAUUCAAAUUGGCUCCAAGAUAUUUUUUGAAGGGAAUGUUGACCUGCCUGCAGGAUCUCUAACUCCCACACCCAUCUCUCAUCUCAGAAGAUGGAGGAGGAAAAGCAUAAAUGCUUUACAGAGAGCUCUCCUUGGCCCUGGGAACCUGCUGCAUGUGAUGAGGAGGUGUCCCAGUGGUGAUUCCCUGCCAUGACGGUUGUCCCCAGAACCAGUGCUGGAGUUCUGAAGACACCUCUGAGGACUCUUUCACCUCCAACUGCUAGAGGCUGCACUUCCAAUUGCUACCACUGAAGAACUGAGGAUGCUCUGAGCCAUCCCCACUCCUGCCAGCAGCUCUCAGAUCCAGCAGUUAACCUACUAUUUAAGAUGCACAUCUUGAUUUCUUUUCACAGCCCGCUCAGUCACAUUUUGCAGUUUUGACUAGGAGAUAGCACCCUACGUGCAAGAAUUAGGUCAGGUCACACCAUUUAAUAAAGCUAUCAUGAACGAUGUGAGCACUACAUACAAAA